GGAGAGAGAGAGAGAGAGAGAGAGACAGAGAAGCAGAGAGACACGUCUUAUUGCAGACAGUCCACCUGAGGUCAGUAUAAGACCUGCUAUGGCAAGCAGUCCACAUGGGGUCAGUGUAAGUAAGACCUGCUAUGACAGACAGACCACCUGAGGUCAGUGUAAGACCUGCUAUGACAGACAGACCACCUGAGGUCAGUGUAAGACCUGCUAUGACAAACAGUCCACCUGAGGUCAGUGGUCAGUAUAAGACCUGCUAUGACAAACAGUCCCCCUGAGGUCAGUGGUCAGUAUAAGACCUGCUAUGACAAACAGUCCACCUGAGGUCAGUAUAAGACCUGCUAUGACAGACAGACCACCUGAGGUCAGUGUAAGACCUGCUAUGACAGACAGACCACCUGAGGUCAGUGUAAGACCUGCUAUGACAAACAGUCCCCCUGAGGUCAGUGGUCAGUAUAAGACCUGCUAUGACAAACAGUCCACCUGAGGUCAGUAUAAGACCUGCUAUGACAAACAGUCCCCCUGAGGUCAGUGGUCAGUAUAAGACCUGCUAUGACAGACAGGCCACCUGAGGUCAGUGUAAGACCUGCUAUGACAAGCAGUCCACAUGGGGUCAGUGUAAGUAAGACCUGCUAUGACAGACAGACCACCUGAGGUCAGUGUAAGACCUGCUAUGACAGACAGACCACCUGAGGUCAGUGUAAGACCUGCUAUGACAGACAGACCACCUGAGGUCAGUGUAAGACCUGCUAUGACAGACAGACCACCUGAGGUCAGUGUAAGACCUGCUAUGACAGACAGACCACCUGAGGUCAGUAUAAGACCUGCUAUGGCAAGCAGUCCACAUGGGGUCAGUGUAAGUAAGACCUGCUAUGACAGACAGACCACCUGAGGUCAGUGGUCAGUAUAAGACCUGCUAUGACAGACAGACCACCUGAGGUCAGUGUAAGACCUGCUAUGACAGACAGACCACCUGAGGUCAGUGUAAGACCUGCUAUGACAAACAGUCCACCUGAGGUCAGUGGUCAGUAUAAGACCUGCUAUGACAAACA